GAUUAACGCUAGCGGCAGGCCUAAUACAUGCAAGUCGAACGGCAGCGGGUCCAGCAAUGGAUGCCGGCGAGUGGCGCACGGGUGCGUAACACGUAUGCAAUCUACCCUUAACUGGGGGAUAGCCCCGAGAAAUCGGGAUUAAUACCCCAUAAUAUUAUGAAGUGGCAUCAUUUUAUAAUUAAAGUUCCGACGGUUUUGGAUGAGCAUGCGCGACAUUAGCUAGUUGGCGAGGUAACGGCUCACCAAGGCUGCGAUGUCUAGGGGUUCUGAGAGGAUUCACCCCCACACUGGUACUGAGACACGGACCAGACUCCUACGGGAGGCAGCAGUAAGGAAUAUUGGUCAAUGGACGCAAGUCUGAACCAGCCAUGCCGCGUGAAGGAAGACGGCCCUACGGGUUGUAAACUUCUUUUGUACGGGAAAAACCACCGGUCGUGAACCGGUGCUGAUGGUACCGUAAGAAUAAGCAUCGGCUAACUCCGUGCCAGCAGCCGCGGUAAACAUA
rnacentral:rRNA from 1 species